AACCCUAACUUUCCUGCAGUCUCCAAGACGCCCUCCCGAAGACGAUGAUUCAGGCCAUUCCUCGCUCCCAAGACGACGAUUCAGGCCAUUCCUCACUCCCCAAGAUGACGAUUCACUCGAAUCAUCGUCAUCUUCCAUCGUCUUCUUCUUCAAUCGUCAUCUUCUUCAAUCGCUUCCAUCGUCUUCUUCAAUCUUCCAGGUUCUUGAAUAUUUGGUUUACACUGUGUUCUCGAAUCUGUCUUGAUAUCUGUCCUUCAACCUUCAAUCCAUAUUCCAAGUAAUUAUUUGGUUUGUUUUACUGUUUUUGAGUCUGAAUCUCAAUGUUGUUUUUUAUUAGUCUGAAUCUCAGAGGGAAUUCCUUCUAAAGGGUUUGGGUUUAUACCCCUUUUAAUCUAUUCAAGUUUGUCCACUUCUUUUGGCAUGUAAUUAUGUGAUGUUGGAAUUGAUUUGAUAACUUCUUUAACGGUUGAUUUGAUAACUUCCUUGAUCCUCACUUAGAAACAGCCUUGUUCCUCACUUAGAAAUGGACAAAUAUAGGCAUCAAUUUGCAUUAUUGGUAAACCAAAAAGUCACCAGGAAACUAUUUUGGGUACAACACUUCUACAAAUCCUAUGAUUCCAUCAUCUCAACAAUGCCUGUUCACAUCAUUAAACUGUUCCUAUAUAGGACUGUUUACUUUGCUAAUAUAUGUGUAAGCUUAAUGUUUCCAAAUUAGAUAAUCAACUCUCUUUCCUUUUUUAUUUCUUUUGAGAAAACACUUUACCUUUCUAACUAUUCUCUGGAUCUUUCAUCUAGCAUAUAUUCGUAUAUGGUAGCCUUUCUUUUUGAGGAUAUGACUCAUAGAUAGAGACCACAUAAUGUUAUGAUAUAUGCUUCACUCCCCUCGUGUCUAAGUGAGUAUAACCCCAACACUUCCUCUAAUUGGAAAUUGGAGAACUAUAGAAAAAUAAGAAGUUGUAUCCAUUACACAUGAGACUUAAUUAUUAUUACAACUACCUAUUAUGCUAUUACAACCACAAUUGCACUUCAUAUAGGCACGACCACAAGCACUCCAAGGGAGAUCAAUACAUAAUAGUUUUUAUGUAUAAGAAUCACCUAGAGCUAAAAGUGUCUUGUGGAUGAAAAUCAAUUGAAUCAAUAAUUUAUAAUGAUCGCACUACAACAAAUAAAAUAGUACCAGUGUUCAAUUUGCACUUGCAUAUGACUUUAGUACUAUGUUUGAUUAUAAUAAAAGCAUAGUAUACUUUUAUAAUGGAGCACAUAGUAGAUGCUAUCAUUCUAUUUGAUGAAAUAUUAGCUUUAUAACAAGCAGCUUUCAAAAUUCAAUUCUUGCUUAUAAAGUUAUAAUAGGAAAAAACUUGUUUAGUAACAUCCUCCCAAAUCUCGACCUUCUUAAGGAUGCCAAUAUAUCACCAGACUCCGAUUAACAAAACAUAAAUUCGAUUAACCAAAAAUCAUCCCUCAUUUUUACAAAUCAUGAAGUUCUUUUCGUGUCUACUUAAAAAACACAGAAAACUCUGCUGGGAUGCCCACAUAUUUCUUGCUUAAUCCUUCCUAAAUGAACAGCCAUUUAGAAAAAGUAGUACUCAGACUUUUCCUCUACUCGUGUCAUUCACAGCACCUCUCAGCAGCCAUUACAUUCAACUCAUUAGGUACAAGUGCUUAAGUGCAAUUCUUUAGUAGAACACAUGAAAAGCACCAUAAUUUCAUUUAGUCAUAGCUUCAAACCAGACCCCACUUCACGUGGGAUUCACCGGGUUCGUCCGGUUGGUUUGGUUUAGAUUUGGCUCAAAAUUUUAAAUUGCACAUAUGUUACCAUUAUAAUUUCAUACUUCCAGAUGUACUCAGCAACCUAUUUACUCAACAAGUGCUACAGAGCAUAAUAAUAAAUAAAAAGAUCGAAAACCCGAAUCUAAAGGUUCUGUUAAAAGCUGGCAGAAAGUGAAAGGAACAGAAUUGAUCCGAAAUACAUCUGGAAAGCUAAAACUCAAGAGCUUGCAGUAGUAUUAUCCACUUCUAACUUCUAAGAAUUGAAGUAUUAAAUUUUAUCAAACCUGCUUCAAGAUCAAGCAUCUGAAUAAGCAUGAAUGUGAUGUUAACACCAGCUACAGCAAAAGCAUAUUGACCAAUUUCUGGGUAUGAUACAAUAUUUAUCUUAUCGUUUUUUGUUCUUUUAUAUAGUGAAGGGUGUUUUAAUGUUAACUUUGCAUUCUUUUAUCCAGGGUAUGGACUUCACCACGGAUAAACUGAGGUCCCUUGUCAAGGAAAGGCAGUCUUUGAUCGAGGCACAUGUUGAUGUGAAGACAACCCAUAAAAACUGCACCUAUUACCCAGUAUUAUAAUAGAGCUGAUAUAAAGAAGAUGGAUAUGCAAGCAUCAAGAGAAUUUCUAGCAUAUAUGAAGGUUCUAACGCAUGUUCAUCACCUGAAUCUGGGUUAGAUUAAGGUUGGAGCUCCUUGACGGUCAGAUAGCCUUGCAAAAUACAACCUGGUACAUCAUGAGACAACUGCCCCAAAGAUCUGGGAAGAAAUGUAAGGAAAAGUGGAUAUAUCUGUUGCAGGAUUGAAUGAGUGGAAGUAUUUAUGGGGUUGGGCGUUUCCUCAAGAAUCAAAGCCUGAUAUUAAGGUACUUCAUGGUCUAGUUUUAGACCCAUCGGCAUCAAAGAAAGGUUUCUGGAAAAAAAAUAUUAGGGAUGGUCAUUUCUAUUAUGAAUAAUGUAGAUACUUAUUUUUUGCUUCUGCUCAUUUGGUUUAAGACGAGACCAUUGUAUUUAUAUCUUUAAUAUAGAAUUUUUUUUGCUGCUUAUGUGU